UACGGAGGUUGCAAGCGUUGUUCGGAAUGACUGGGCGUAAAGGGAGCGCAGGCGGCCAAGUCAGUCUGAAGUGAAAGCCCGGGGCUUAACCCCGGAAUAGCUUUGGAUACUGCCUGGCUUGAGUGUGCGAUAGGAAAGCGGAAUUCCAGGUGUAGCGGUGAAAUGCGUAGAUAUCUGGAGGAACACCGGUGGCGAAAGCGGCUUUCUGGCGCAUAACUGACGCUGAGGCUCGAAAGCGUGGGGAGCGAACGGGAUUAGAUACCCCCGUAGUCCCU
rnacentral:rRNA from 1 species